UACCAGCACCCCGAGUGGUCGGGACGUUUAUUGGGCCUAAAGCAUCCGUAGCCGGUUCUGCAAGUCUUCCGUUAAAUCCACCUGCUUAACAGAUGGGCUGCGGAAGAUACUAUGGAGCUAGGAGGCGGGAGAGGCAAGCGGUACUCGAUGGGUAGGGGUAAAAUCCGUUGAUCCAUUGAAGACCACCAGUGGCGAAGGCGGCUUGCCAGAACGCGCUCGACGGUGAGGGAUGAAGGCUGGGGGAGCAAACCGG
rnacentral:rRNA from 1 species